ACCGCUAGAUGGAGAUACAGUUAGGAGUAAGACAGCUUAAGGCACGGCAAUUUUUUAUUUAUUACUAAAAUUAUGGCUUUUUAUAAUACAAAGGAAAGUACUAAAGAAUAUAAUAAUUUCUUAGCAGCUUUUCAAGAAUUAAAGUUUUCUAAGUUAGAUCAAGAUCUAUUUAGAGUUUUAAACGUUGAACGUCGUUGUCUUGGUGUGAAAUAUUUAGCAGCAAAAAGAUCAGGCUUUGAGGAUGCAGCGAUGUGUUUGCUAGAAAAAGGCUUAAAAGAAUUUCAAUAUCAAAUAGAAAAGAGCGGAGUUUAUUGGAAUUCGAUUGAAAAUAACAUUGUUGAAACUGUUAAUGAUCCUUCACAAUGGAAAUCAGAAUUAAACGAUGUACAAACAGCAAUUGAUUUCAUAGAAUGUUUACCAUGUCAAGAUGAAAAUACUGCAGCAUGCAAAGAAAAGGUAAUUAAUGAUGGACAUAUUAAAGAUAUUGUUGAUAUGUGGAAGACACAAGAUACAAGAAAGAGGAAAUGUAAUAUACAAAGACGCCCUCAAUUUGAAACAAUUAAAACAAAUGAUAAUAAAAUAUCUCAUGCUAAUAAAAGUUCCAUAAGUAACGAAAUGAAAUUCAUAGAAUGUAAUAAAAAGGAAUUACCAAGCUUAAGAAAUGGGGUUUCUUUAUUCAAAACUGCCAGAGAUGAAUUAAAUAUUCAACAAAAUUCAAAGAAUAGGCCAGCACAAAAGAAGACAUUAGGUGGUAAAUCUUCAGUUAAAUCUCCAUUUGUAUGUCCUUUAAAACGUGAGGAAGAUAAAGUAAUGCAGUAUCAAAACAGUAAAAAAGAAAAUGAAGGUGUUUCAGCAGAUGUAGAAGAUGAAAGGAUGAAAAACAUUGAUCCGAAGUUGAUAGAGUUAAUAAAAAAUGAAAUCAUGGACUUACGAACAUCAGUUUCUUGGGAUGACAUAGCAGGACUUGAAUAUGCUAAGAAAAUUAUUCAAGAAGUCAUUGUAUUUCCUAUGUUGAGGCCUGACAUUUUCACCGGCCUACGUAGGCCACCAAGAGGAAUUUUAUUAUUUGGACCUCCUGGUACAGGGAAAACAUUGAUUGGAAGAUGUAUCGCAGUGCAGAGUAAAUCAACAUUUUUUUCUAUAUCAGCAAGUUCCUUGACUUCAAAGUGGAUAGGGGAAGGAGAAAAAAUGGUUAGAGCAUUAUUUGCUGUUGCUAGAGUCAAUCAACCGUCAGUUGUUUUUAUAGAUGAAAUAGACUCUUUGCUUUCUCAAAGAUCAGAAACCGAGCAUGAAAGUUCGAGAAGACUUAAAACUGAAUUUUUAGUACAACUGGAUGGGGCAGCAACUUCAGAAGAUGAUCGCAUUUUAAUCGUAGGUGCAACAAAUAGACCACAAGAAUUAGAUGAAGCAGCGCGUCGUCGUCUUGUUAAAAGGCUCUAUAUUCCAUUACCAGAGUUGCAAGCACGAAAACAAAUUAUAUGCAAUUUAUUAUCAUCGGUAAAACACAAUGUCACAGAACAAGAUAUUACUGAUAUCGCUCAACAAGCAGAAGGUUAUUCAGGUGCUGAUAUGAAAACUUUAUGUACGGAAGCUAGUAUGGGACCAAUCAGAUGUAUUCCAUAUAAUGUGUUACAAGAGAUACCAUCCGAUGAGAUAACACCAGUUACACUUCAGGAUUUUAAAGAAGCUUUACAAAAUGUACGUCCUAGUGUUUCUCAAUCAGAUUUAGCCAUCUAUGUUAAUUGGGAUCGCACAUAUGGUACUGGUUCCCUACAGAACGACGAAGCAGUAGACUCUCCGAAUGUUUAUAAGGAUAAGAAAAAGGUCUUUUGUCUACUUCGUAAAAAAGUUCUAGCAUCGUCGAGGCACAUUUAAAAUCGUAGGCGGUACAGAAGUGCUGAUAAGACCGAUACGCCGACGUAAAGCGACCGUAAAUGGCCCGUAAAAGUAUGAAUGAAGCGUUCUUGGUUAAACGAUAGCAAGCAUCACGCUUCUGUAACGUAGCUUUCUAAAAAGAGCUUCGACUUUUAUGGUAGAAAUAAGAAGAGAAAUUUAUUGAGUAUUAACAAAUUCUCAUCAUGGUUGAACACUAUACGCGUUGCAGUUUAAGCAGAGAAUAAUUUUCAAGGAUGUAAAAGAGUAGUGUUACUAAAAGGAUACAGGAAGUAAAAGGUAAGGUCGUUUCCACGAAAGAAAUAAGGCUUUUGCUUUUAACGAGUCUCAUCCGAGAAUUUCUAUUACAAUCGUCAAUCUUAUAAUCGUCUUGGUGCUUGCUUCCAUAACUCUGUAAUUCGAUGAUCGUUUAAUCACCGAGCGAUAUCCUCAGCGUUUCUCUUGGGUGAGAGUGAGAGCGUUUACGAUCUUUCAAGUACAUUCGCAGGAAAUAAUCGUCGUUGGAAUACCGGUAAUCGACAUGGCACGUGUGUUAAAACGACAUCGAGCAUAAUAUUUCAAGUAUAAAUACGUUCAUGCUCGAUCGAGUAAGGGCAGAAAAAAAAGAAAAAAAGAGAAAAAUAAAGAAAUAUAAAAUAAG